rnacentral:lncRNA from 1 species
UUUUUUUUUUUUUUUUAUUUUUUUAUUUUUUUUCUUUAGCAGGAUCAACCUCGAUUCCUCUUUUCCAAUGAACCCCAACAACUUACUAGACCGCACUCUGACAGUGCACUUAUUUGAACUCAACCUCGGUUCGAAUUGUCUUAAUCGGUCGAACAACUUGGCCAGAUCUACCAAAUGCCCCUCUUCUGCUUGGGACUUUGCCAUCAUGUCAUCAACAUAGCAUUCAAUUUCAUGAUGAAUCAUAUCAUGAAACCAAGUCACCAUGGCCCUUUGAUAAGUAGCACCGGCGUUCUGC